rnacentral:tRNA from 1 species
GGAGGGGUGGCCGAGUGGUUGAAGGCACCGGUCUUGAAAACCGGCAUAUGGGAAGCCGUAUCGUGGGUUCGAAUCCCACCUCCUCCGCCA